GGGAAUAUUGCACAAUGGGCGGAAGCCUGAUGCAGCAACGCCGCGUGCGGGAUGACGGCCUUCGGGUUGUAAACCGCUUUCGCCUGUGACGAAGCGUGAGUGACGGUAAUGGGUAAAGAAGCACCGGCUAACUACGUGCCAGCAGCCGCGGUGAUACGUAGGGUGCGAGCGUUGUCCGGAUUUAUUGGGCGUAAAGGGCUCGUAGGUGGUUGAUCGCGUCGGAAGUGUAAUCUUGGGGCUUAACCCUGAGCGUGCUUUCGAUACGGGUUGACUUGAGGAAGGUAGGGGAGAAUGGAAUUCCUGGUGGAGCGGUGGAAUGCGCAGAUAUCAGGAGGAACACCAGUGGCGAAGGCGGUUCUCUGGGCCUUUCCUGACGCUGAGGAGCGAAAGCGUGGGGAGCGAACAGGCUUAGAUACCCUGGUAGUCCACGCUGUAAACGGUGGGUACUAGGUGUGGGGUCCAUUCCACGGGUUCCGUGCCGUAGCUAACGCUUUAAGUACCCCGCCUGGGGAGUACGGCCGCAAGGCUAAAACUCAAAGGAAUUGACGGGGCCCCGCACAAGCGGCGGAGCAUGCGGAUUAAUUCGAUGCAACGCGUAGAACCUUACCUGGGUUUGACAUGGAUCGGGAGCGCUCAGAGAUGGGUGUGCCCCUUUUGGGGUCGGUUCACAGGUGGUGCAUGGCUGUCGUCAGCUCGUGUCGUGAGAUGUUGGGUUAAGUCCCGCAACGAGCGCAACCCUUGUUCACUGUUGCCAGCACGUUAUGGUGGGGACUCAGUGGAGACCGCCGGGGUCAACUCGGAGGAAGGUGGGGAUGACGUCAAGUCAUCAUGCCCCUUAUGUCCAGGGCUUCACGCAUGCUACAAUGGCUGGUACAGAGAGUGGCGAGCCUGUGAGGGUGAG
rnacentral:rRNA from 1 species